rnacentral:rRNA from 1 species
UCCGUAGGUGAACCUGCGGAAGGAUCAUUAUUGAAUGCCCUCACGGGCUUUAAUAUCCAACCAACCUCUGUGAACCGUCGCCCUCGGGCGCACUAUUACAAACUAUAACAGUCAUGAACGUAGUAUACAAAAACUAAACACAACUUUCAACAACGGAUCUCUUGGCUCUCGCAUCGAUGAAGAACGCAGCGAAAUGCGAUAAGUAAUGUGAAUUGCAGAAUUCAGUGAAUCAUCGAAUCUUUGAACGCACCUUGCGCCCUCUGGUAUUCCGGAGGGCAUGCCUGUUUGAGUGUCAUGUAGACUCAACCCCACGACUUUUGUUGUGUGGGUUGGACUUGGGUCCUGUCGCGAUCUGCGACCGAUCCGAAAUGUAUUAGCGUGUGUCCGUCGUGACGAUAAACCGAUUGUUAAAUUUCUCGGGCUCGCUCUGUCGAGGUUGUCUGACGAAAGCACAUGCCGAACCCCUUCUCUUUGACAAUUUGACCUCAAAUCGGGUGGGAUCACCGCUGAACUUAAGGCAUAUCAAUAAGGCGGGAGGGGAAGGUCGACUGGCCAAGGGCACACAGGGGGGGAUA